UACGAAGGGGGCUAGCGUUGCUCGGAAUCACUGGGCGUAAAGCGCACGUAGGCGGAUUGUUAAGUCAGGGGUGAAAUCCUGGAGCUCAACUCCAGAACUGCCUUUGAUACUGACGGUCUUGAGUUCGGGAGAGGUGAGUGGAACUGCGAGUGUAGAGGUGAAAUUCGUAGAUAUCGAGAGGAACACCUGCGGCGAAGGCGGGUUGCUGGGCUGACACUGACGCUGAUGCGCGAAAGCGUGGGGAGCAAACGGG
rnacentral:rRNA from 1 species